rnacentral:lncRNA from 1 species
UUCUCUCACAUAGGAGACUGCUGUCAAAGGAGUCUACUGACAUAUGAGAUGCCCUGUGCUAUCUCUGAAGGCUUGCUUAAUCUGUUAGUGGAAAUGCUGGACUGUGCAACUCAAGACUCCUACGUAUGCAUCUUUGACUUUGCUUUUCUUUGGAAGGAAGGAAGUCUGCAGAAGCCAUCCUACUUUCUUCAGCUGACAGUACAGUGCCAAUUUCCUGGUUGUCUACAAAGGAUGUUGAAACCCUGUAAUUCUUUGGCUGGUGAGGUACCGAGAUCCCGACUUCAGUGGAGGAACACUAUCAAGAGGCUGGCAGAGGGGGG